rnacentral:rRNA from 1 species
UACGUAGGGUCCGAGCGUUGUCCGGAAUUACUGGGCGUAAAGCGCGUGUAGGCGGCUAAGUAAGUCGGGCGUGAAAUCCCACGGCUCAACCGUGGAAGUGCACUCGAAACUGCGUAGCUAGAGUCCUGGAGAGGAAGGUGGAAUGCUUGGUGUAGAGGUGAAAUUCGUAGAUAUCAAGCGGAACACCGGUGGCGAAGGCGGCCUUCUGGACAGUGACUGACGCUGAGUCGCGAAAGCGUGGGGAGCAAACAGG